CGGGUUGGCCGGAUGAUCGCGGCAUGCACCGCAUGUCGAGGAAAGUCCGUACUCCAUAGAGCACGAAACCGGGGAAACCUCGGGACGGGGUAACCUGUCGGAUAGGGCCACAGAAACAUACCGCCUUUCGGGGUAAGGGUGAAAUGGUGGUGUAAGAGACCACCGGGAACCGCAGUAAUGCGUUCGCCGGGCAACCCCUUUCGGGAGCAAGGUUAAACAGAUGCCUGGUCUCCACAGGCCGCUCACCUGGCCGGCGCAAGCCGGCGGCGUCAGGUAAACCGCUCAGACAGAUGAUCAUACAGGCAGGCUUUGCCUGCCGGACAGAAUACGGCUUAUAGACCAACCCGGGUU
rnacentral:RNase_P_RNA from 1 species